UGAGCACCUAUGGGACAGCACUCUAGUCGCCUGUCGACUGGUCAAAGGUCACCCGCUAUACGCACCCAAGUGUUCUCAGAAGAAUGAGUGAAGAUCAUCCAGUCCGGAAGCGUUGCAGACUACAGGGCACGAAAGUAUGCAGUGUGUGUGCAGACAGGCUAAUGCCCAUCAUUUUGGUGCCCUGGCAUGUGAGUCCUGCAAAGGUUUCUUCCGCCGAAAUGCUGUCAGAGUAAAGGGUACCAAGGCAUGCUUAUUCCAAGGCAACUGCAUGAUCAACAAACAAACACGAAGCUUCUGCCUGGCGUGUCGGCUCAAGAAAUGUAUUGCUGUGGGCAUGAAUCCACAACUCAUCUUGAGUAGAGAAGAACGAGAGGAACU
rnacentral:lncRNA from 1 species